AACGAACGUUAGCGGCGCGCUUAACACAUGCAAGUCGAGCGAGAAAGGGCUUCGGCCCCGGUAAAGCGGCGCACGGGUGAGUAACACGUAGGUAAUCUGCCCUCAGGUGGUGGAUAACUUUCCGAAAGGAAGGCUAAUACAGCAUGAGACCACGGUUCCGAAAGGGACAGGGGUCAAAGCCGGCCAAUUCAUGAAAGCUGGUGCCAGAGGAUGAGCCUGCGGCCCAUCAGCUAGUUGGUAGGGUAAUGGCCUACCAAGGCGAAGACGGGUAGCUGGUCUAAGAGGAUGAUCAGCCACACUGGAACUGAGACACGGUCCAGACUCCUACGGGAGGCAGCAGUGGGGAAUCUUGCGCAAUGGGCGAAAGCCUGACGCAGCGACGCCGCGUGAGUGAUGAAGGCCCUCGGGUUGUAAAGCUCUGUGGAGGGGGACGAAUAAGGGUUGGCUAAUAUCCAACUUGAUGACGGUACCCCUUUAGCAAGCACCGGCUAACUCUGUGCCAGCCGCCGCCGUAACAC
rnacentral:rRNA from 1 species